UACGUAGGUGGCGAGCGUUGUCCGGAUUUACUGGGUGUAAAGGGCGCGUAGGCGGGUCAUCAAGUCAGUCGUGAAAUACCGAGGCUCAACUUCGGGGCUGCGAUUGAAACUGAUAAUCUUGAGUGUCGGAGAGGAAAGCGGAAUUCCUAGUGUAGCGGUGAAAUGCGUAGAUAUUAGGAGGAACACCAGUGGCGAAGGCGGCUUUCUGGACGAUAACUGACGCUGAGGCGCGAAAGUGUGGGGAGCAAACAGG
rnacentral:rRNA from 1 species